GGGAGGGCUGUUGCCCAUGGCCACUGCACAAGGUCUCAGCUACACUCGGGCUGAUCUUUCCAGGCCAGGCUGAGUGGAGGGACAGCGACGGAGAGAGCUCAGGCUGCACGUCGGUGGGCUGCUGGUCAGUCUUGUUCCACUGUAG
ensembl:miRNA